rnacentral:rRNA from 1 species
CAACUGUGUGAAUUAAUGUGAACUGCCUACCGCCUUGAACAUCGACAACUUGAACGCAUAUUGCGGCCACUGGUUCGCCUGUGGCCACGCCUGUCCGAGGGUCGGCUUACAAACUAUCACGACGCCCAACAAGUCGUGGCUUGGGUUUUGCCAGCUGGCGUGAUUUCCCCUAUCUGGACUUGUCCAUUGUGGGGUGCCAGAUCUAUGGCGUUUCCCUAAUGUAUCCGGACACAACCACAUUUGGGCUGACUGCCUUGAUGGGGAUGUGGCGAUGGAGUCGUGGCUCAAUGUGAAUGUGCGCGCUCUGUUGUCGUGUCUUUGUCUUUGGUUGAUGCUCUUAGUGGCAAUGUACCCGAUGUCCUAUCCACGAAUGUGUACCUUUUGAAGACAUUCAUUUCCUGACCUCGGAUUAGACGUGAUUACCCGCUGAACUUAAGCAUAUCACUA